GGUUCGAUCAUGGCUCAGAUUGAACGCUGGCGGGAUGCUUUACACAUGCAAGUCCGAACGGCAGCACGGACUUCGGUCUGGUGGCGAGUGGCGAACGGGUGAGUAAUGUAUCGGAACGUGCCUAGUAGCGGGGGAUAACUACGCGAAAGCGUAGCUAAUACCACACAUACGCCCUUCGGGGGAAAGCGGGGGACCUUCGGGCCUCGCACUAUUGAAACGGCCGAUAUCGGAUUAGCUAGUUGGUGGGGUAACGGCUCACCAAGGCGACGAUCCGUAGCUGGUUUUGAGGAGGACGACCAGCCACACUGGGACUGAGACACGGCCCAGACUCCUACGGGAGGCAGCAGUGGGGAAUUUUGGACAAUGGGGAAACCACCAGUCCAGCCAUCCCGCGUGUGCGAUGAAGGCCUUCGGGUUGUAAAAGCACUUUUGGCAGGAAAAACGGCACGGGAUAAUACCCCGAUGCAACUGACGGUACCUGCAGAAUAAGCACCGGCUAACUACGUGCCAGCAGCCGCGGUAAUACGUAGGGUGCAAGCGUUAAUCAGGUUACUGGGCGUAAAGCGUGCGCAGGCGGUUCGGAAAGGAAGAUGUGAAAUCCCAGAGCUUAACUUUGGAACUGCAUUUUUAACUACCGAGCUAGAGUGUCAGAGGAGGUGGAAUUCCGCGUGUAGCAGUGAAAUGCGUAGAUAUGCGGAGGAACACCGAUGGCGAAGGCAGCCUCCUGGGAUAACACUGACGCUCAUGCACAGCGUGGGAGCAAACAGGAUUAGAUACCCUGGUAGUCCACGCCUAAACGAUGUCAACUAGCUGUUGGGGCCUUCGGGCCUUGGUAGCGCAGCUAACGCGUGAAGUUGACCGCCUGGGGAAUUACGGUCGCAAGAUUAAAACUCAAAGGAAUUGACGGGGACCGCGAAGCGGUGGAUGAUGUGGAUUAAUUCGAUGCAACGCAGCCUUACCUACCUUGACCAUGUCUGGAAUCCCGAAGAGAUUUGGGAGUGCUCGCAAGAGAACCGGAACACAGGUGCUGCAUGGCUGUCGUCAGCUCGUGUCGUGAGAUGUUGGGUUAAGUCCCGCAACGAGCGCAGCCACUUGUCAUUAGUUGCUACGAAAGGGCACUCUAAUGAGACUGCCGGUGAUCGACAAACCGGAGGAAGGUGGGGAUGACGUCAAGUCCUCAUAAGCCCAUGGGUAGGGCUUCACACGUCAUACAAUGGUCGGGACAGAGGGUCGCCAGCCCGCGAGAGGGCAAUCCCAGAAACCCGAUCGUAGUCCGGAUCGCAGUCUGCUCGACUGCGUGAAGUCGGAAUCGCUAGUAAUCGCGGAUCAGCAUGUCGCGGUGAAUACGUUCCGGGUCUUGUACACACCGCCCGUCACACCAUGGGAGUGGGUUUACCAGAAGUAGUUAGCCUAACCGUAAGGAGGGCAGUCACCACGGCCAGGAUUCAUGACUGGGGUGAAGUCGUAACAAGGUAG
rnacentral:rRNA from 1 species